rnacentral:rRNA from 1 species
GAUGAACGCUAGCUACAGGCUUAACACAUGCAAGUCGCGGGGCAGCAUGUCGGUUGCUUGCAACCGAUGAUGGCGACCGGCGCACGGGUGAGUAACGCGUAUCCAACCUGCCCUUCACCACGGAAUAAUCCAGUGAAAGUAAGACUAAUGCCCAAUGACAUUUAUAGAAGGCAUCGGAAAUGAAUUAAAGAUUUAUCGGUGAUGGAUGGGGAUGCGUCUGAUUAGCUUGUUGGCGGGGUAACGGCCCACCAAGGCGACGAUCAGUAGGGGUUCUGAGAGGAAGGUCCCCCCANAUUGGAACUGAGACACGGUCCAAACUCCUACGGGAGGCAGCAGUGAGGAAUAUUGGUCAAUGGGCGAGAGCCUGAACCAGCCAAGUAGCGUGCAGGAAGACGGCCCUAUGGGUUGUAAACUGCUUUUAUAGGGGAAUAAAGUGAGUCUCGUGAGACUUUUUGCAUGUACCUUAUGAAUAAGGACCGGCUAAUUCCGUGCCAGCAG